rnacentral:tRNA from 1 species
GCACCGUUCGUUCAAUGGUAGGAUAGGAGCUUCCCAAGCUUCGGACGCGAGUUCGAUUCUCGCACGGUGCA